rnacentral:piRNA from 1 species
UACAAGGAGACUACAAUGAGAAUUUUAUUGC